CGGGUGAGUAAUGCGUGACCAACCUGCCCCAUGCUCCAGAAUAGCUCUUGGAAACGGGUGGUAAUGCUGGAUGCUCCAACUUGACGCAUGUCUUGUUGGGAAAGUGUUUAGUGGCAUGGGAUGGGGUCGCGUCCUAUCAGCUUGUAGGCGGGGUAAUGGCCCACCUAGGCUUCGACGGGUAGCCGGCCUGAGAGGGCGGACGGCCACAUUGGGACUGAGAUACGGCCCAGACUCCUACGGGAGGCAGCAGUC
rnacentral:rRNA from 1 species